GACGAACGCUGGCGGCGUGCUUAACACAUGCAAGUCGAACGGAAAGGCCCUGCUUUUGUGGGGUGCUCUAGUUGAGAACUGGUGAGUAACACUUGAGUUCCCUAUCCUUGACUUUGGGAUAACUUCAUGCAACUUGGUCUAAUCCCGCAUAGGAUCUCCUGCUUCAUGGUGGGCGUUGGUAAGUUUCGGCGGUUGGUGAUGGACUCGCGGCUUAUCAGCUUGUUGGUGGGGUAGUGGCUUACCAAGGCUUUGACGGGUAGCCGGCCUGAGAGGGUGACCGGCCACAUUGGGACUGAGAUACGGCCCAGACUCCUACGGGAGGCAGCAGUGGGGAAUAUUGCACAAUGGGCGGAAGCCUGAUGCAGCAACGCAGCGUGCGGGAUGAAGGCCUUCGGGUUGUAAACCGCUUUCGCCUGUGACGAAGCGUGAGUGACGGUAAUGGGUAAAGAAGCACCGGCUAACUACGUG
rnacentral:rRNA from 1 species